AAGGAUCAUUAGAUUGAAUUAUCAUUGUUGCUCGAGUUCUUGUUUAGAUCUUUUACAAUAAUGUGUAUCUUUAUUGGAGAUGUGCGCUUAAUUGCGCUGCUUCAUUAGAGUGUCGCAGUAGAAGUAGUCUUGCUUGAAUCUCAGUCAACGUUUACACACAUUGGAGUUUUUUACUUUAAUUUAAUUCUUUCUGCUUUGAAUCGAAAGGUUCAAGGCAAAAAACAAACACAAACAAUUUUAUUUUAUUAUAAUUUUUUAAACUAAACCAAAAUUCCUAACGGAAAUUUUAAAAUAAUUUAAAACUUUCAACAACGGAUCUCUUGGUUCUCGCAUCGAUGAAGAACGUAGCGAAUUGCGAUAAGUAAUGUGAAUUGCAGAUACUCGUGAAUCAUUGAAUUUUUGAACGCACAUUGCGCCCUUGAGCAUUCUCAAGGGCAUGCCUGUUUGAGCGUCAUUUCCUUCUCAAAAGAUAAUUUUUUAUUUUUUGGUUGUGGGCGAUACUCAGGGUUAGCUUGAAAUUGGAGACUGUUUCAGUCUUUUUUAAUUCAACACUUAGCUUCUUUGGAGACGCUGUUCUCGCUGUGAUGUAUUUAUGGAUUUAUUCGUUUUACUUUACAAGGGAAAUGGUAAUGUACCUUAGGCAAAGGGUUGCUUUUAAUAUUCAUCAAGUUUGACCUCAAAUCAGGUAGGAUUACCCGCUGAACUUAA
rnacentral:rRNA from 1 species